GAGUUUGAUCCUGGCUCAGAUUGAACGCUGGCGGCAGGCCUAACACAUGCAAGUCGAACGGUAACAGGAAGAAGCUUGCUUCUUUGCUGACGAGUGGCGGACGAGUGAGUAAUGUCUGGGAAACUGCCUGAUGGAGGGGGAUAACUACUGGAAACGGUAGCUAAUACCGCAUAACGUCGCAAGACCAAAGAGGGGGACCUUCGGGCCUCUUGCCAUCGGAUGUGCCCAGAUGGGAUUAGCUAGUAGGUGGGGUAACGGCUCACCUAGGCGACGAUCCCUAGCUGGUCUGAGAGGAUGACCAGCCACACUGGAACUGAGACACGGUCCAGACUCCUACGGGAGGCAGCAGUGGGGAAUAUUGCACAAUGGGCGCAAGCCUGAUGCAGCCAUGCCGCGUGUAUGAAGAAGGCCUUCGGGUUGUAAAGUACUUUCAGCGGGGAGGAAGGGAGUAAAGUUAAUACCUUUGCUCAUUGACGUUACCCGCAGAAGAAGCACCGGCUAACUCCGUGCCAGCAGCCGCGGUAAUACGGAGGGUGCAAGCGUUAAUCGGAAUUACUGGGCGUAAAGCGCACGCAGGCGGUUUGUUAAGUCAGAUGUGAAAUCCCCGGGCUCAACCUGGGAACUGCAUCUGAUACUGGCAAGCUUGAGUCUCGUAGAGGGGGGUA
rnacentral:rRNA from 1 species